AAAUGCUCUUCCUGGAUUUUGCGUUUGUAGUUGGGCUCUCAUCACAAGGAAAGCACCAGGUGCUGCUCUCUGUGGCGAAGGCUUCCUGGAACAGGUUUUCCACCUGAGGUUGCCAUGUUCUCAAAAGCAGAAGGAUGAGGGAACUCACUGUGUGCAGGAAGGAAAUGCGUGUGCAGUUUGCAGCUGUCACAUUUGGCGUCACGCAGAUGACCUCACCCGGCACAGCCAAGGUCACCAUGUCUCCUCCUCAGAUACUGAUGAGCCCUUCAGUCAGCACACUGGCCAGGACCCUUUAGGUUCAGGAAAAUCUAGCAGCUCGAUGGACUGGUUCCUGGUACGUGGGUCAGCUCCAGAGGAGUGGGAAUGCUUGCUUGGCAGCCAAGAGGGCUCCCUACUACCUCAAGGCCGAGAAGGGGUCCAGUGGCUGGAGAUAAGCUUCUUCCUCCUGCCUCGCCAUCGGCAGUACUCAGCAGAACCUCAUCAAGACACCAGAUGACGGGAGAGAACUGCUGACGUAAACCGUGGUCGACGUGUCAGGAAGGCAGUCUCUGACCAUAGGCGUAGGUGCUGCUUGCCCUCUACCUCACUGCUUUGGAAAUCAAAUGAUGGGGCCCGGGAGCUCCUUAGAGAGGAGAGGUGCCGUGAAGCAUUGGCAGAAAUCAGGUGCUGGUUCUCCAAGACCAACCACAGCCCAGUACAAACGCCCAGCCUGACCCAGCCUUCCUUCCUGCCGGGCUGUGGGCCUGCUGGGGGGAGGGAAGCAGCUCCCUGUGGCCACAGGGUGGCGCUGUGACAAGAGAAAGCAUGGGCCUUGCUGGAAGACAGAGGUGUCCCAGGCAAGUAGCUCCAUCCAGACGGACGAGGCUGGUGCGCCGGAGCUGCCCGAGGCCAAGUGUCCUGCAGGAGGACAGGGCUUGUUCUUCCGGCUCGUUCUCGCCUCCUGAUUCCGCUUUUUCCUGUGAAUCCUGGUAGAAGUGAUGCACCUCCAGCCGCUCCUCUGCUGGGUCUGCUGGUCUCCUUCCUGGUGUGUCCUGGUCUGAUCAACCCCAGAGUGGACAGCGCAGCUCCAGUGCUCCAAGACGUGGCUAAAGGCAGUGGAUCUGCUGACCAUGAACUGAAACCUCUGAAAGUGGGAGCAAAAAUAAACCUUCCCUCUCUGAAGCUGUCAGACAUCUUGUCAUGAUGAUGGAGAGCUAACAGCGUUACUAACUUCACAACUUCGGGUUGCAGAACAUCACCUCUGGGAAAGAAGAUGAAUAGCUUUAAGAAAUGUGCUCCCUCCUUCUGACCUCUGCAAACCCCGACCAGAUGAUGAAGAAAGAUGACUCGACCUGGAUGCACCUUGCAGGAAAUGUUCCACUUCUCAGGUAAUGCACCAGGCCACGCCUCAUUUUUCCUGAGAGAAAAGGGAUGUGAGGGGAUCAAACACAAGACGCAGCAUUUUACAGUUCCACUUCCAAAGGCGUCCACUCUGUGACACAGCAGGACAAUCGGAUCGGCAUCUCAGCUGUAGAAUCGCAGAAACCUGAAA